rnacentral:rRNA from 1 species
CGGCGUAAAGAGUGGUUAUGGGUACAAUAAGCUAAAGCUGAACGCCUCUCAGGCUGUUAUACGCCCCCAGAAGGCGGAAACUCGCAGACGAAAGUAGCUUUACCAGAUAGACCAGAGCCCACGAUAGCUAGGGUACAAACUGGGAUUAGAUACCCCACUAUGCCUAGCCGUAAACUUAGGCAUUUAAGUACAAUAAAUGCCCGCCUGGGGACUACAGGCACCAGCCUAAAACCCAAAGGACUUGGCGGUGUUUCAGACCCCCCUAGAGGAGCCUGUUCUAGAACCGAUAACCCUCGUUUAACCUCACCACCCCUUGCCUCUUCCGCCUAUAUACCGCCGUCGCCAGCUUACCCUGUGAGGGACCUCCAGUAAGCAAAACGGGCACCACCCAGAACGUCAGGUCGAGGUGUAGCGCAUGGGAUGGGAAGAAAUGGGCUACAUUACCUGGCUCAGGUAACUUACGAAAGACCAUUUGAAAUUCAGUGGUAUGAAGGUGGAUUUAGCAGUAAAAGGGGAAUAGAGUGCCCCUUUGAAGCCGGCUCUGAAACGCGCACACACCGCCCGUCACUCUCCCCAACACAC